AUUGAACGCUGGCGGCAUGCCUUACACAUGCAAAUCGAACGGUAACGGGCCUUCGGGUGCCGACGAGUGGCGAACGGGUGAGUAAUACAUCGGAACGUGCCCGAUCGUGGGGGAUAACGAGGCGAAAGCUUUGCUAAUACCGCAUACGAUCUACGGAUGAAAGCAGGGGACCGCAAGGCCUUGCGCGGACGGAGCGGCCGAUGGCAGAUUAGGUAGUUGGUGGGAUAAAAGCUUACCAAGCCGACGAUCUGUAGCUGGUCUGAGAGGAUGAUCAGCCACACUGGGACUGAGACACGGCCCAGACUCCUACGGGAGGCAGCAGUGGGGAAUUUUGGACAAUGGGCGCAAGCCUGAUCCAGCCAUGCCGCGUGCAGGAUGAAGGCCUUCGGGUUGUAAACUGAUUUUGUACGGAACGAAAAGCCUUCUUUUAAUACAGAAGGGUCAUGACGGUACCGUAAGAAUAAGCACCGGCUAACUACGUG
rnacentral:rRNA from 1 species